UAGCUGCUCUGCAGCUCCGUAGGAAAGGAAAAGGCUCACAGGCGUGUCUGCACUGUGUUGCCGCCCCGGGGCUGCCUUUCCCAGCGCCCUGGGUGUCUCCCGGAGGCUCUGAAUCUGCCAGCCGGGAGCUGUCUUUGCUCCUGUCUCUUUGGGGAUGUCUUCAUUCUCCCUUCAUUCUGCGCAGUUUUGCUGGCUGUGGGGUUCUUGGUGUGACCGUCGUCUCUUUCGACACUUUGAAUAUGUCAUGUCACUGCUUCCUAGGCUCCAGGGUCCCAGGCGAGAAGGCAGCUGUCAGCCUUUGAGAGAAAGAAGCCUCUGCACGGUGAGCCGGGGUCUCCUCUGCUUUCGAGAUGCCCCGCCUUCACCGUCCUGCUGUUAACUAAAGCCUGUCUAGUCAGGGACUCCUUGUCUGUGCUGCUGGGGCUUUGCUGAGCUUCUUGCUUCUGGAGGUGGUUUCUCUUUAAACUUGGAAGGUUUCGCCCAUUGUUUCUCCCGAGAUCCUUUCUGCCCUGCCCCUCCUUCCUCUCCUGGGACCCCCGUCAGGUGCGCACACUGGCCUCUCAGGCCUGGUUUUCUUCAUUCUUUCUCUGUUUCUCAGGCUGGACCUGUUGGCCUCCCUCCCGGGCCUAGAUUCUUUCUUCCGCCAACUGCAGUCCGGUGCUGAGUUGCUCUAGGGAGCUUUUCAUUUCUGUGACUGUGCUUUUUCAGUCCAGAAAACGUCUGCUUGGUUUUCUUCCUUAAUUGGUUUCUUGUUAUGGAUAUUCCAUUGGCACAGCAUCACUCUUUAGGCAUGAGCACACAGUGACUGAGCUAGAGCACUUGUCUAGUAAGCUUAGCAUCUGGGCUUCUCCAGAAGUUUCUGAAGUAACUGAUCCAAAGCACUUGUCUAGUAAGCUUAGCAUCUGGGCUUUUCCAGAAGUUUCUGAAGUAACUGAUCUGAAGCACUUGUCUAGUAAGGUUAGCAUCUGGGCUUUUUCCAGAAGUUUCUGAAGUAACUGAUCUAAAGCACUUGUCUAGUAAGGUUAGCAUCUGGGCUUUUCCAGAAGUUUCUGAAGUAACUGAUCUAAAGCACUUGUCUAGUAAGGUUAGCAUCUGGGCUUUUUCCAGAAGUUUCUGAAGUAACUGAUCUAAAGCACUUGUCUAGUAAGGUUAGCAUCUGGGCUUUUCCAGAAGUUUCUGAAGUAACUGAUCUAAAGCACUUGUCUAGUAAGGUUAGCAUCUGGGCUUUUUCCAGAAGUUUCUGUCCGCCACUGUCUCCCUCGGUGUGUGGGCCCUGCUUCCCUGGCCCUUGGGUCUCUUUCUUGUUCAAGUGGUAGGAUGUGGCAACUCUGGAAGAUCCUCCCGUCCCCCAGAUUGUUUCUGGUUGUUUGUUUAGUGUGUUUCCUGUACCAGUUGGGUAAAUCUGCACGUGUUGUGCUUGGCCAUGUGAGUCCUGGCCUGGCAGCUUCCCGAUCAGCUCAGUAGGUUUCCUCAAAUGCUUUGAUCCAGUGAGUCUCGUGGUUUUGCCGACUAGCUGUGUGUGCAUGGGUGUGCGUGUGUGGGGUGCGUGUGCAUGAGGGCCUGCAAGUGUGCGUGGGCGUGUGUGUGUGUGCGGGAGUGUGCGUGUGUGUGGGAGUGUGUGUGGGUGUGUGGGGCACACCUUCAGUGUUCUCCCAGCCAGAUGCUGGCUGUGACUUGGCUCUCGUUUCAUGAAUGUUUUGAUCUUUGCUCCAUGAGAAAGUCGCUUAUAGUUGUGAUUGAUGUUUCUCUUAGGAGUGAGAGCAAGCGUUUUCCAUAUGUUGGAGCAUUCGUUGCUCAUCCUUUUCUGGGAAUUGUAUUCCAUACCCUUUGUUCAUUUUUCUGUUAGUUUAUGGGUUUCUUGCUAAACUGUGGGGACGCUGUAUUCAGUGAGAAGACAAGCUGUACAUGAUGUGUUGCAAGCGCGCCUGAUUUCAUCUUCUGGUUUUGCUCACACUGUUUUUGCCAUGGAGAUUUUUUUUUUAAUGUAGCCGAAUUUAACCAG
ensembl:lncRNA